rnacentral:tRNA from 1 species
UUAAGUGAAGCCAAAAAGAGGCUUAUCACUGUUAAUGAUAGAAUUGGGGGCUAACCCCACUUAAG